GGAGAGAUGUCCGAGUCUGGCUUAAGGGGCGCGACUGGAAAUCGCGUGUGGACUAAAUCCACCGGGAGUUCGAAUCUCCCUCUCUCCG
rnacentral:tRNA from 1 species